UACGGGGGGGGCAAGCGUUGUUCGGAUUCACUGGGCGUAAAGGGUGCGUAGGCGGUUUGAUAAGUCUGAUGUGAAAUCCCGCAGCUUAACUGCGGAACUGCAUUGGAAACUAUUUGACUAGAGGAAUGGAGGGGAGACUGGAAUACUUGGUGUAGCAGUGAAAUGCGUAGAUAUCAAGUGGAACACCAGUGGCGAAGGCGAGUCUCUGGACAUUUCCUGACGCUGAGGCACGAAAGCCAGGGGAGCAAACGGG
rnacentral:rRNA from 1 species